AAGACUUCUAGUGCUGUUUGCUGUCAAACAUGCUCCAGUGGCUUCCAAAACUUGUGGAAAAUCAAUUUAAAGUCUUUGUAAAAA